AUCGCUUCUCUGCCUUUUGGCUAAGAUCAAGUGUAGUAUCUGUUCUUAUCAGUUUAAUAUCUGAUACGUCCCCUAUCUGGGGACCAUAUAUUAAAUUGAUUUUUGGAAAAAGGAGAUGAAAUAGGGGCUUGCUCCGUCAAAAAAAAAAAAAAAAAGCACUUGAUUGAAUUCUGUGGACUCCAC